AAGGCAGCUACACGGCGACGUGAGGCUAAUCCCUAAAUCCUCUCUCAGUUCGGAUUGGAGUCUGCAACCCGACUCCAUGAAGCUGGAUUCGCUAGUAAUCGCGCAUCAGCCACGGCGCGGUGAAUACGUUCCCGGGCCUUGUACACACCGCCCGUCAAGCCAUGAAAGCCGGGGGUACCUGAAGUGCGUAACCGCGAGGAGCGCCCUAGGGUAAAACUGGUGAUUGGGGCUAAGUCGUAACAAGGUAAC
rnacentral:rRNA from 1 species